rnacentral:rRNA from 1 species
CGUAGGGUCCGAGCGUUGUCCGGAAUUAUUGGGGCGUAAAAGGGCUCGUAGGCGGUUUGUCGCGUCGGGAGUGAAACAACCGGCGUUAACUCGGUGCUUGCUUUCGAUACGGGCAGACUGGAGGUAUGCAGGGGAGAACGGAAUUCCUGGUGUAGCGGUGAAAUGCGCAGAUAUCAGGAGGAACACCGGUGGCGAAGGCGGUUCUCUGGGCAUUACCUGACGCUGAGGAGCGAAAGUAGUGGGGAGCGAACAGGAUU